GAUGAACGCUGGCGGCGUGCCUAAUACAUGCAAGUCGAGCGAACAGACGAGGAGCUUGCUCCUCUGACGUUAGCGGCGGACGGGUGAGUAACACGUGGAUAACCUACCUAUAAGACUGGGAUAACUUCGGGAAACCGGAGCUAAUACCGGAUAAUAUAUUGAACCGCAUGGUUCAAUAGUGAAAGACGGUUUUGCUGUCACUUAUAGAUGGAUCCGCGCCGCAUUAGCUAGUUGGUAAGGUAACGGCUUACCAAGGCAACGAUGCGUAGCCGACCUGAGAGGGUGAUCGGCCACACUGGAACUGAGACGCGGUCCAGACUCCUACGGGAGGCAGCAGUAGGGAAUCUUCCGCAAUGGGCGAAAGCCUGACGGAGCAACGCCGCGUGAGUGAUGAAGGUCUUCGGAUCGUAAAACUCUGUUAUUAGGGAAGAACAAAUGUGUAAGUAACUAUGCACGCCUUGACGGUACCUAAUCAGAAAGCCACGGCUAACUACGUG
rnacentral:rRNA from 1 species